CAUCUUCUAUUUCUUUGGUGUGAGUGAAGAUUUUGGAAUUUCUUUUGCACAAAAUCAUCAUUACUCGAACAAUUGAAGGGAAACCAUAUUUGUGUUUUUGCGGAGAAAGGGGUGUCAUCAACUAUUGUUAAAAUAAUUAAAAACUAUUUUACUGGGGUGUGGCCAACGUGGAGAAAAAUUCCAGAUGAUGUAAAAGAAGCUAUGUGGAAGAAAUUUGGGGAAUAUUUUAAUUGGCCCCUACAAGAGGAACCUAAUGUACGAAGAGUAUUGGAA